GCGAAUUGGCUAUGAUGUGAACCUAUUACGGCCAAUCCAAUGACUUGAAAAUUUCUCAUUAAGUAUUCGUGUUACAGCACAUAAAGAAUGAGUUGGACAGUCAUUAUGUUUGCACUACAUUCGUGGUAUAUGCGUCCUUGCUCGGUCCGAAAUUUUUGAGUUCAAGGUCGUCCCGAGAACACAAUACACGGCGUACCGAACUGUUUACGACGGAGAGAUGUGUAUACAGUACAGUGGUCAAAAGGAUCCAUCGAAUGUUAAAACCGCGUUUCUCCUAUUAUUACGAACCUAUUAUGAAAAUCGAAAAGUGAGAGAAAUCGAAUUCACGCGGAACGUGAAUAUUUUCCGUGCGACAGUACGGUGAAGUAUCUGACAGAAUUACACGACGCCAAGAAAAGUUUUUCUUUCCGUUUCGCGCUCGCAAAGAGGAAGGUUAUUUCUCGGUCGAUCGAGUACAGGCCGUGCUACUACGUCCUGGAAUACGGAAGUUCAUUUGUUCAAUUGCUGGCGAUACUUCUCAGACAAAAAUGAUAGAAUCUCCAUGGAACAAUUGAAAGUCUGUGAGAAAAUCUCAUAAGGGUGCAACGAGGUCAUCACCUUGUUUCGAUAAUAGUUCGGUGGGAAGUAUUACACCAGGGAGUGCCUCAAAUUCACUUUUGUGAAACUAGGACUUCGGCAUCGGUAAAACGUGACUACGGAACAUCAAAAAAUACUUUCGAACUAUGUGAUCGACAAUACGUUACAUAAUGGAAAACAAAGUAUUCAGUAACAAGAUUUUUUUUAUUCGUUUGAUCGAUCAUCGAGGCAAGUGAACAAAUUCUUGUGUAUCCAGAAUUUUUUAAUACAUGCACAAAUAUAAACAUUAUAUGAAAAUUAGUGAAACCAUAUUUAUUUUUUAAUGUACAUUCGUUCGAUUAUUACUGCUCGAUAAUAAAGACGCUCCGAACAUAUAUUUACACGAA